rnacentral:lncRNA from 1 species
CAUAUUUAAAACAUCCAACAGCAGCAACCUCUUAAUCUCAAGGUUCCCUCUUAGAGCUGUGCAACAUUUUCAGACUCCAACCAAUCCUUGCACCCUUAUUUAUUGCCAACAAUUUGUAAUUCUUGACAAUUUAUGUAAAUAACUCUGGCCUUGAAGUUUUUGCCUUUAUAAGCAUCCUCCAUUUUGUUGUCUGGUUCAAGGUUUUUUCCACCUUGAGAUUCAGGUUUCAUGGGGUUUUUUUCUCUGCCACUUACGUAGAAAUUUGAGUUUCAUGUUUUCUUUUCACUUUUGGUGAUUUCUCAGAAUAAUGAGAUGUUCAUGUUGCAACAGAACAAACGGUGGGGAAAAAAUGUAAUUGUAAUGUAUACAUAUAAGGAUAACUUUAUCCCCUUGCUGUACAGUGGGAAAAUAAAAAAAAAAAGAAUGAUGAGAAGUUCUUAUAGGAGACAUUCAAAGAAAGGUGAACCCCCUCCCCAGGAACCCUUCCUGACUUUAUGUUUAACACCUAUAGAACUUUAUUCUAUAACUGCCUAUAUAAAUGUGUUCAUUUAGCUUGAGAUGAUUUAAAGUUACAUUGUUCAAAAUGGGAAACUUUCGAACCUCCAAAUUAGUCGUGACUAGAGAAAAGUAUCAGAACCAGACAUAUAAAGGUAAGUACAGUGUAACUGGUACUAGAGGUACAUAACACUGAGAAAAUUGUCUCCCUCCAAGUUGUAGAUGAAAAGUUGAUACAGACUGUCCUAAAACUUGAAAAAUCAGUUGAACAUUGUCACCCUUCUCCUACUCUCUUCCCAAAUUCUUCAUCUUCCUCUAUCCCUUUACCUGCCUCUUUCCAAACUCCUUUUUUUUAUCCAACUGAUUCCCUCCACAUUACUCCUCCACCAGACCCCCUUCCUCCUCUUCUUCCUCUACUAAUGGGUAUUCCUGAGCCUGAAGUCCUUCUCUACCUCCCUGUUCUGACAGCCCCUUUAAAAACUAAGCCCACUAGACAAAGGGGUAAAAGCAGCCCCAUCUCAGCAAUUUCCCAAGCUUUCUUACAAAUAAUCAGAAAAUAAAUCAGCUGGAAGCCAAUAUUCAAGGACUAAUAGAAAAAACAGCCUUUGUCUUAACAAUUUCUACAAAACCAGAAGUACAACUCUAGAAACAAGCCA